GACGAACGCUGGCGGCGUGCUUAACACAUGCAAGUCGAGCGGUGCGGCGGACGGGCGAGUAACGCGUGAGUAACUGCCCCCCUCCCUGGGGUAACAGUUGGAAACGGCUGCCAAUACCGGAUAGUGGGGGAUGACUCGGGGCCUAUCAGCUUGUUGGUGGGGUAGUGGCCUACCAAGGCGACGCAUGGUAGCCGGCCUGGGAGGGCGACCGGCCACAUGGGUCUGAGAUACGGCCCAAACGCGUACGGGAGGCAGCAGUGGGGAAUAUUACACAAUGGGGGAAACCCUGAUGCAGCAGCGCCGCGUGCGUGAAGACGGCCUUCGGGUGGGAAACCGCUUUAAGCCAUGACGCGGUAGUGGCAGAAGAAGCACCGGCUAACUACGUGCCAGCAGCCGCGGUAAUUC
rnacentral:rRNA from 1 species